rnacentral:rRNA from 1 species
GUCUAUAGCUGUACCACCCUGAAUGCACCCGAUCUCUUCUGGUCUCUGAAGCUGGGCAGGGUUGGACCUGGUUAGUAAUUUGGAUAGGAGAAUUGUAUUUUGUAUAUUGUGGCUUAGAUC